CUCCUUUAAGAAAGGGAACGGUUCCUUAUGCAUAUUUAAGAAUGUUUGUCUGCAGCAGUGCCCAGCUGACGCGGGGCCGGAGGCUCACACGCGGGACCCGAAUUCUCGGGGAGUAAAUCAUCCGCGCUUUACACGCACCCUCUGCCAGGGCUCCAGUGGGGAGCCCCUUGCUAUUGCGCUAAACACAUGGGACUGGGACAAUAGCUGGAGUGGAUUAUUCAUUCCCGUAGGCAAUACUUCCCUGUAUGGGCGUCGGGAUGCAGUUGGAGGCUCGGGAACAAAGCGGGCAUCUAAUGUCAAGAAAACUCAGAACGAAAGGGGGGAUGCUGCUUGAAAGUGUGACUCAAAAAAAAAAAAAAACCCAAGAAGAAAGGUUUCGCUUUACAGCCAUCAGUAGCACCAGGAGACAGCUCCAUUAAAAAAGUAGUUUUCCACUGCUCUUGAAAAGCCGUUAUUUUUUACAUCGCUUUUAGGAAGAUAGAUUAACAAAACAUCACAUUUCAAGCCACUCUGAUCUGUAAUUAAAUGGAGGAGCCGGUUUGUAUUCUCCCAUGGCUUUUACAGAAGUUGCAGUGAUCCAAAGUCAGGUUGCUGUGUCAGAGUGGCAUUUUUAUUAAUGAGAAUACAAAAAGCUUGCAUAUUCUUAGCCCGGCUUGAAUUUAGUUGCUAAGCAACCGCUGUAUGGUAAUUCAUCCGCGAAAUUUAAAUCUUAGAGAAAGGAGUCUGCGUUUUCCUCAAUGGUCGCCACGAGGAAUACAACUUGUGGGACCCGCAGCAGCUGCCGCCGCGGCACCGCGCGGCCCGCCCGCCGGCUCCCCCCGGGGCUGCCCUGCUCCGCCGGGAGCUCCGGCCCGCCCGCCCCUCCCAUGCCGCCGCGCCCCGCCGCCCGGGCCGCCCCACCGGGGAGGGAGCGCGGCCGGGCACCGCAGGACGCCCCGUCGGCGCUGCCCCAGGACGGCCUUCCACGA